rnacentral:rRNA from 1 species
UAAGUAUUUAAAGGAUAUCUUGGUUUUAUGUUUUAAGGACGUAUUAAAUGCGAAAAGUUAAAGGUAAAUGAAAAAUUUGUAAUCUUUAAAUUUCCAAAGAUAAAUCAAUAUUAAUUUAAUUAAUAAAAUUACGUAGUGAACUGAAACAUCUAAGUAACUAUAGGAAAAAAAAUCAAUAGAGAUUUUGUGAGUAGUGGUGAGCGAAAGUAAAAUAAAGCCUUUUUAAUAUUAUUUAUAAAAAUUUUUUUUUAAUAUUUGAUGAAACAAUAACAAAAAAGGUGUAAGUCCUGUAAAAAAAAAAUAAUAAUAUUAAAUGAGUAAGACGGAAAAUGUAAUUUUGUCUGAAGAUUGGAGAACCACCAUCCAAAGCUUAAAUAUAGCAUAAAAACCGAUAGUGUACGGAGUACCGUAAGGGAAAGAUGAACAAGAACCAUAUUAUGUGGAGUGAAAUAGACCUUGAAAUUAAAUAUUUAUUAACUGUUGAAUUUCUAAUUUUAUAAAUUACGAAAAACAACGUACCUUUUGUAUAAUGGGUCAGUGAGUUAAUAUAUAUAGCAAGCUUAAAUUUUAAAAAUGUAGGCGUAGUGAAAGCAAAUUUUAAUUGAAUAAUUAGUUAUAUGUAUUAGACCCGAAAUCAAGUGAGCUAACCAUGAGCAGGUUGAUAAUUAGCAAAAAAGCUUUUUUGUAGGACCGAACCCGUGUAUGUUGAAAGAUACUGGGAUGACUUGUGGUUAGGGGUGAAAGGCCAAUCAAACUUGAAGAUAGCUGGUUUUCUACGAAAUCUAUGUAAGUAGAGCGUUAUUUUAUUUAUUUAUUAAUGGUAGAGCAAUAACUAGAUUGUUAGAUUUAACAAAACUACGAAUAUUAAUAAAUUAAAAAUAACAGACAGACAUUAGGUGCGAAGAUCUAAAGUCAAAAGGGAAACAGCCCAGAUUAUUAGCUAAGAUCCCAAAGUUAUAGCCUAGUGAGUAAGGUCAAAAUAUUUAAUUAUUAUAAAUUUAUAAUAAGUAUAAUUAGGAGGUAAUCUUAUGAGCAGUUAUCCUUUAAAGAAAGCGUAAAAGCUCACUAUUUAUAUUGAAUAUUUUUACCUAUAAUUUAUAGGGACUAGCAGCUAUACAUCGAAGCUAUAAAUUAAUAAAAUUUUUAUUAAUGGUAGUAGAACGUUUUGUAUUUUGUUGAAGUUAUAUUGUAAAAUAUAAUGAAGAAAUCAAAAUUGAGAAUGCUGACAUGAGUAACGAAAAUAAUGUUUAUAAACAUUAUCACCGAAAGCCUAAGGGUUUCUACGGUAUGUUAAACAGCGUAGAUUUAGUCGGCCCCUAAGAUUAUAGUGAAAACUUAAAUUAAUGGGUAUUUUGUAAUUAAUAAUUACAAACUAUGAAUUAGUGACGUCAAUUUUAAAAUAUAUAUUAUGAUUUUUAAUUUUAUUAAUAUUUGUUAUUAAUAUGCUUAAUAUAUUUAUAAAAUUUGGCCUAGAAAAAACUAUUCGUAAUUUUUAUGUUUAUAAAAAUAAAAACCGUACUAAAACCGACACAGGUAGGCUGGUAGAGUAUACUAAGGUGAUUGAGAAAAUAAUACUGAAGGAAUUCGGCAAAAUAGCUCCGUAACUUCGGGAGAAGGAGUGCCUUAAUUAAGUAUAUAAAAAUAUACUUUAAGGUGUAAUAUAAUAGAGAAGAGCGACUGUUUAAUAAAAACACAGGACUCUGCUAAGUUGUAAAACGACGUAUAGAGUCUGAGACCUGCCCAGUGCUGUUUGGUUAAACAUUUAAGGUUUUUUUUAAGUAAAAGCUAAAAAUUAGAGCCUCGGUAAACGGCAGCUGUAAAUAUAACGGUUCUAAGGUAGCGAAAUUCAUUGUCGAGUAAGUUUUGACCUGCAUGAAUGGUUCAACGACUCUUCUACUGUCUCCAGUAUUAACUCAGUGAAAUUGAAAUUUCCGUGAAGAUGCGGAAUUUUAUCGGCGGGACGGAAAGACCCCAUGCACCUUUACUAUAGUUAUGUAUGGUUGGAGGGUAUUAAAUAUGUAGUAUAAAUGUUAGUCUAUGACAUCGUAACGCCAGUUACCUAUCGAGACGCCAGUGAAAUAGCAUUUUUUUAAUACUUAAAAACUAAUUUUAUAAAAAUAAAUAAGAGACAAUGCAUGAUUGGUAGUUUAACUGGGAAGGUUGCCUCCUAAAUAGUAACGGAGGCGUACAAAAGAUAAGUUUAAAUCUAAUUUUUAUUAGAUUGAAAGUAUAAUGGCAAUAAACUUAUUUGACUGUGAGACAAACAAGUCAAACAGAAAUCUGUUUUUUACAGGUUGGUCAUAGUGAUCCAGUGACUCUUUGUGGAAAGGUUGCUGCUCAACGGAUAAAAGGUACGCUGGGGAUAACAGGCUAAUAAUCCUUGAGAGUUCUUAUCGACGGGAUUGUUUGGCACCUCGAUGUCGGAUCAUCACAUCCUGGAGCUGAAGCAGGUUCCAAGGGUUAGGCUGUUCGCCUAUUAAAGUGGUACGUGAUCUGGGUUUAGAACGUCGUGAGACA